GAGUAAACAGAACAGGAUACUGGGAGAAAGACGCAGAGUCACACAGAGGCAGAGAACUGCCCGCCAUGAAGCUGCCAGGUCAGACACGCUGAAUCCUCCCGUCCCUCCCGCCACAUCACCAGGAAGCUGAGGGGUGAAACAGUGCAUGCCGCCGGGCUCUUUUCUGCUCAGACGGAAAGAUGAAGACCUGGAAUAUGGGCAGCUGUCGUGAAGGCUGGGAACGAGCGUUCCCGUGAGCUUCUUUUCCCACACCAGGUCUGCAGUCCACGUUUACAGGAGGCUGGCAAGGGCGGCUGCGUGUCUGGGCAGCUCUUAACGCCCUCAUGGCAAAAGUCCUGGAGAGGCAGAACUCGCCUCCCUCGGGCAGUACACAAGAGUUGGCUUAAAACACCGUAGAACACAGGCAAUAAAAGUGGCUGAAGUCAGGAGCUCGCCUUCUCCUCAGCCCUGACACCUCUAACUGGAAGCUGUCAAGAUGCUGAGUGUUUGCCCAGCCACUCUCCAGCAUCCUGCUUGGCCUUUCAGCAGCAGCCUACCGUGGCACACGAAGCAGAUGCCAAAGAUGCCCCCCAACACUUUAUUUAUUUGUCUAAAUAAAUCUUAGAGCCUUGUUUCUGA